rnacentral:rRNA from 1 species
AACGAACGCUGGCGGCAGGCCUAACACAUGCAAGUCGAACGUGAAGCCACCUUCGGGUGGUGGAAAGUGGCAGACGGGUGAGUAACGCGUGGGAACGUGCCUUUCGGUUCGGGAUAACCCAGGGAAACUUGGGCUAAUACCGGAUACGCCCUCCGGGGGAAAGAUUCAUUGCCGAAAGAUCGGCCCGCGUCGGAUUAGCUAGUUGGUGGGGUAAAAGCCUACCAAGGCGACGAUCCGUAGCUGGUCUGAGAGGACGAUCAGCCACACUGGGACUGAGACACGGCCCAGACUCCUACGGGAGGCAGCAGUGGGGAAUAUUUGACAAUGGGGGCAACCCUGAUCCAGCCAUGCCGCGUGAGUGAUGAAGGCCUUCGGGUUGUAAAGCUCUUUUGGCGGGGACGAUGAUGACGGUACCCGCAGAAUAAGCCCCGGCUAACUUCGUGCCAGCAGCCGCCGUAAUAC